GAAUCCUGAUGCAGCGACGCCGCGUGGGUGAUGAGGCCUUCGGGUUGUAAAGCCCUUUCGGCCGGGAAGAUUAUGCCGGUGCCUGCUGAAUCAUCUGCGUGUAACUUCCUGUCACCGACCGCGCGCUUACGUCCGCGGCAGCAGUUGUUCGGAGUCACUGGGUGUAAAGGUUAUUUGGGCGUAUUGGUAUUUUAGGGGUUGCAUCCGCUCGGUCAACCCGGAUGUGAAACCCCCGGCUUUACCCCCGGAUUGCCUUUGGAACUGGGAUGCUUUAAGUUCGGGAGAGGAAAUCGGAAUUUCGGUGGAAGAGUGAAAUUUCUGAAAAUUCCGAAGAAACACCGGGGGGAAGGGCGGCUUCCUGGACCGAAACUGACCUUAAGAUCAAAAACCCUGGGAAUCAAACAGAUUUAAUUACCAGGGAAUCAA
rnacentral:rRNA from 1 species